UACGGAGGGGGCUAGCGUUGUUCGGAAUUACUGGGCGUAAAGCGCGCGUAGGCGGACCUGCAAGUCGGGGGGUGAAAGCCCGAGGCUCAACCUCGGAACUGCCUUCGAUACUGCGGGUCUCGAGUCCGGGAGAGGUGAGUGGAAUUCCUAGUGUAGAGGUGAAAUUCGUAGAUAUUAGGAAGAACACCAGUGGCGAAGGCGGCUCAGCUGGCCCGGUACUGACGCUGAGGCGCGAAAGCGUGGGGAGCAAACAGG
rnacentral:rRNA from 1 species